GAGCAGAUCAUUCAGUUGAGACUUUCUUUCUUUGCUGGAACACGGUUGCGUUACCAUCUGGAUUUGACUGUUGCCCGUUCUGGAUUUGACUGUUGCUACAAUUUCCUCUGCUGGGUUCGCUUGAUCAAAACAAAAAUGAAUAGAAAGACUGUGCCUGUCUCCUUAUCAGCCUUAAGACGAAGGACACGUGCAGACGUUCAAAAAGGCCAGGAACUGCAGUCCCUCCUCA